UGUGGUGGCGAUAGCGAGAAGGAUACACCUGUUCCCAUGCCGAACACAGCAGUUAAGCUUUUCAGCGCCGAGAGUAGUUGGGGGUUUCCCCCUGUGAGGGUAGGACGUUGCCACGC
rnacentral:rRNA from 1 species